UGGUUUGUCGCGUUGUUCGUGAAAUCUCACGGCUUAACUGUGAGCGUGCGGGCGAUACGGGCAGACUAGAGUACUGCAGGGGAGACUGGAAUUCCUGGUGUAGCGGUGGAAUGCGCAGAUAUCAGGAGGAACACCGGUGGCGAAGGCGGGUCUCUGGGCAGUAACUGACGCUGAGGAGCGAAAGCGUGGGGAGCGAACAGGAUUAGAUACCCUGGUAGUCCACGCCGUAAACGGUGGGUACUAGGCGUGGGUUUCCUUCCUUGGGAUCCGUGCCGUAGCUAACGCAUUAAGUACCCCGCCUGGGGAGUACGGCCGCAAGGCUAAAACUCAAAGGAAUUGACGGGGGCCCGCACAAGCGGCGGAGCAUGUGGAUUAAUUCGAUGCAACGCGAAGAACCUUACCUGGGUUUGACAUGCACAGGACGCGUCUAGAGAUAGGCGUUCCCUUGUGGCCUGUGUGCAGGUGGUGCAUGGCUGUCGUCAGCUCGUGUCGUGAGAUGUUGGGUUAAGUCCCGCAACGAGCGCAACCCUUGUCUCAUGUUGCCAGCGGGUAAUGCCGGGGACUCGUGAGAGACUGCCGGGGUCAACUCGGAGGAAGGUGGGGAUGACGUCAAGUCAUCAUGCCCCUUAUGUCCAGGGCUUCACACAUGCUACAAUGGCCGGUACAAAGGGCUGCGAUGCCGUAAGGUUAAGCGAAUCCUUUUAAAGCCGGUCUCAGUUCGGAUUGGGGUCUGCAACU
rnacentral:rRNA from 1 species